GCACCACAAGGGGUGAAGCCUGCGGUUCAAUUGGAGUCAACGCCAGAAAUCUUACCCGGAGAGACAGCAGAAUGAAGGUCAAGCUGAAGACUUUACCAGACAAGCUGAGAGGUGGUGCAUGGCCGUCGCCAGCUCGUGCCGUGAGAUGUCCUGUUAAGUCAGGUAACGAGCGAGAUCCCUGCCUCUAGUUGCCACCAUUACUCUCAGGAGUAGUGGGGCGAAUUAGCGGGACCGCCGUAGUUAAUACGGAGGAAGGAAGGGGCCACGGCAGGUCAGUAUGCCCCGAAACUCUGGGGCCACACGCGGGCUGCAAUGGUAACGACAAUGUGUUCCGAAUCCGAAAGGAGGAGGUAAUCCAGAAACGUUACCACAGUUAUGACUGAGGGCUGCAACUCGCCCUCACGAAUAUGGAAUCCCUAGUAACUGCGUGUCAUUAUCGCGCGGUGAAUACGUCCCUGCUCCUUGCACACACCGCCCGUCGUUUCAUUGAAGUUUGCUUUUAGCGAGGUGACAUCUGAUUGGUGUUAUCGAACUUGAGGUAAGUGACAAGGGAA
rnacentral:rRNA from 1 species